rnacentral:rRNA from 1 species
CCUACGGGUGGCAGCAGUGAGGAAUAUUGGUCAAUGGACGAGAGUCUGAACCAGCCAAGUAGCGUGAAGGAUGACUGCCCUAUGGGUUGUAAACUUCUUUUAUAUGGGAAUAAAAUGUUCCACGUGUGGGAUUUUGUAUGUACCAUAUGAAUAAGGAUCGGCUAACUCCGUGCCAGCAGCCGCGGUAAUACGGAGGAUCCGAGCGUUAUCCGGAUUUAUUGGGUUUAAAGGGAGCGUAGGUGGAUUGUUAAGUCAGUUGUGAAAGUUUGCGGCUCAACCGUAAAAUUGCAGUUGAAACUGGCAGUCUUGAGUACAGUAGAGGUGGGCGGAAUUCGUGGUGUAGCGGUGAAAUGCUUAGAUAUCACGAAGAACUCCGAUUGCGAAGGCAGUUCACUGGACUGCAACUGAAACUGAGGCUCGAAAGUGUGGGUAUCAAACAGGAUUAGAUACCCUAGUAGUC